AGCGAACGCUGGCGGCAGGCUUAACACAUGCAAGUCGAGCGGGCCCUUCGGGGUCAGCGGCGGACGGGUGAGUAACGCGUGGGAACGUGCCUUCUGGUCUGGAAUAACCCUGGGAAACUAGGGCUAAUACCGGAUACGCCCUUUUGGGGAAAGGUUUACUGCCGGAAGAUCGGCCCGCGUCUGAUUAGCUAGGUGGUGGGGUAACGGCCUACCAAGGCGACGAUCAGUAGCUGGUCUGAGAGGAUGAUCAGCCACACUGGGACUGAGACACGGCCCAGACUCCUACGGGAGGCAGCAGUGGGGAAUAUUGGACAAUGGGCGCAAGCCUGAUCCAGCCAUGCCGCGUGAGUGAUGAAGGCCUUAGGGUUGUAAAGCUCUUUUAUCCGGGACGAUAAUGACGGUACCGGAGGAAUAAGCCCCGGCUAACUUCGUG
rnacentral:rRNA from 1 species